CAGAGCGAAAAUAGCAAAAGCGUGAUUCAAUUAGGCGGCCAAUUGCUGAUGAACUGUUAAUUGAGUUUGCUGAUUAUUCGCCAGUCACCCGAUUGUUUGCAUUUAAAUUGUCUCAUUUGCCCAGAUUUCAGUUUUCAGUUUCCAGACCCAAUAUCUGGAACUGGAUUGCGCCCCGAGGGGCAAGUCGAGCGGCAGCAAUUGACACAGAAAGCUGGCCAAAAGCCGCCUAAGCGCCACUUGAAUGACCAGCUUUUGGCCAAAACACAAUGUGCUGUUGGCCGUUCCAAACAAACACUUGUCGACGCCAUCGACCUGAAGAGUUUGCUGACCAGACGACCGGCAGGCCGACCGGCUCAUCCAUUCCUCGCGUGCACUCCGCAAAUGGGUCAGGCCCCCGAAUCGAAAAUGUGUGCCGUAUCUCGAACGGUUCAAUUGCCCCAUGCCCACAGAGAUAACUAAUGAAAAUCUUUGAUUAUCUGGCCGGGGCACGUUGCGUGUUUGCCUGCUGGCCGCCAGCAAGUUGCACAACUCCAAAUUAAUCUGCUCAAGUUUUUUGGGCGCUGACUUUUCGGCCACAUAGUUCAUUAGACGUGCGUGAAAUGCAAAAUCUUCGAUUGCAAAUUUGAAUCGCAAAUUUUGAGCGUUAAUCAAUCAACAUUAUAUUGUUUAUCCAGUUCAAAUCCCCAGCAUCCGAGUUAACCCAUCGUAAUCAGCGACAAAUUACAUUACAAGGCGGGGCGACCCUGACACUGAAGAUGGCCCAUCAUCCCGAACUUGACGGCGGCACUUCAGGAGGAUUUGGAUACGGAUUGAGUGCCGGGAAUGGUAGUGGGAAGAUGAUACCGAGUGCAGUCGCCUGCAGUUCACGGCUAUUCAAAUUCGAAUUCCUUAAGCCUUUAAUGACAUCGGGAAAGGAGCUUCGAGUCUGGAUAUACGAGCACAUCCAUUAGGCACUCACGAGAUGCGGACAUUGAACCUUGAAAUAGACCUUAGAGAGUUGGCGAAGAAAACACAAAAACCUGGCGGCGACUGAUGCGAAACCAACGAAAAUAAGUUGGAAAUGAAAACUGGUUUGGUUUAAGCCAAGUUAGAACACUAAGUCAGCCAGCAAAGAAUCAAAAACAAAAGGCCUUACUCUUACUCAUAUUAAUAAUAAUAGUUAUACACGGGAUGGGCUCCACAAAGGGCUGUAAACAAGCUACUGCCGCGGAAAAUUCUAGUCAUUCUAAUUUGAGAUAUUCCCAACUUGCGAAAUGAGAUGUUUGUUUAGUCAGAUCUCAAUCGACAUUCCUGAUCACAGAAGGAGAUUUAUGAACACAUUACGAGAAAGAUGCCGUGCGUGCCAUUGAUAUUAUAAUUCACUGAUUAUGUUCGGCUAGAAAUGGAGUUGGAUUUAUGAAUGUCCGCCGGUUCGGUUGUCAAGCCAGAGUCACGAAAGCCACCACUGGAUGGUACUUCAACCUCAAGCUGCUCAAGUGCCUUGUAAUCGCUCUGUGAAUCACUAAAGCGGAUUGCUGUUUAAUUCCGAUUCUGGUGGCGUCUAUAUGGUGGCGGAAAUAGCCAGACGAAAGCGCCUUAAAGCCCGGGCUUUUCGUGCAACCCGAUUGCAUAAUCGAAUUUGGGGCUAGAACUUUGGAGUAGACCGGCGAUGCCAAAGACGAUUUGCAGAUUGCCCGUAAUCGCACACCCGGAGCAUAUUAGUAUUGGGGAGUCGUGUUCCAUCCAAGCUGAUGAUUAUCUUUGGAGCCCCUAAGACCCGCCAUCGAAAUCGAAGAUCGACCCCAAGCGCUGGCAGCCUUGAAGCGUUUUGCAGAAGGCGAUUCGUCGGCACAACAAUGGCGAUUGCCAGCUGAAAAUCGUCAAAUUCAAUUAAACUUAAAUACUUGUCGAAGCAAUUUGCCCAGCGUUUUUCAUAUUUGCUUUGCAUUGAGCCGGGUUUAUUUAUUUCAGCGAUCUUUGAUGGUCGCUGCUCGCCGUUCGAUUGGAGGCGCUGCUAAUUGCUUCCCCCGAAUUCGAAUUGGCCGUGUAACGAUGAUCAUGUUGUUGGUCGGUUCAAGGCGGAAGUGCCGGAAGUGCAGCCGGCGGUGGCACACCCUGCAGUCGCUACUGUACAGUGGGCACCCACACUUUGUUGACGAUUGGCACUUGAGCGACAUUCGCGCACGCGCAACCUGGGUAAAUUUACGCGAAAUGCUCGACAAAUGGGCGACAAAUUAUGCCAAAUGAAAAGAGGCGUGACUGCGUUGGCAUUUAUGCUCGUUUCGCUACAAACAAACGCCCCCGCACCACCCGCCUCCCUGGACCGCCCGCUGAAAUGCGCCCAAAAGCCGUAAAAACAAAUGCUGAAGUGUCUAGCUACAGUUAGAAAAAUUCCCAAGAAAAUGUGGCCACAAUAAAAUGGUUUAUUGCGUGCGGAAUUCUGAGUAUCUUUCUUUUGUAAAAUUCAAUU